rnacentral:misc_RNA from 1 species
GUACUCUCACACUCCCAAUUGCUUUGGAUUGGGAGCGGUGGACUUGGGUGUUGCGGCUUGACUGUGGCUCACCUGAAAUAUGUUAGUGCACCUCUUGAUUGGACAUAGUACAGCGUGAUAAGUGUCUUCGCUGGCUCCUCGCAAAGAGGGUGGCCGAUCGGGAGCUCUGUUGCUUCAAACUGUCUUCGGACAACAACUGACA